UUUAGUACCCGAUAUAAACAGGUGGAAGCAUGAACGUCCUGCUAUGUGCGUGUCUGCUCGUGCUAGAAAGCAUCUUCUGCUCCUGCCAGACUGAUGUUUGCUUUUCGCCUAUGGAUUACGGCCCUUGUGAUGGAUCGUUUCCCCGGUAUUAUUAUGACGUCACUUCCGGCAAGUGCUUGAAGUUUUAUUAUUGGAGGUUGUGCCGGAAAUGCCAAUAACUUUAAAAUAUUGCAAGAUUGUGUAGCAACUUGCAGUCAAGUUAAACCUGUGUAACAUGUCUCAUUCAUUGGAAUAUCAAUGUUUCAGGAUUACUAUGGUAUUAAAAAAUAAAAUAAGAAUAUAAUUAUUGUG